CAUUUUGUCUGUCACAGUGUCGUGUCCCUCUCUCUCUCUCGUUACUCUCCAAGCAGUUCUCACUCUCUAACUCUAUCAUUCUCUCUCCCGUUCUAUCUCUCACUCUCUCUUAAUCUCUCGCUACUCACCAAGGCGGCCGGCAGUGGUGCUCGCCUGGAUCCUGCGGUUCUGCCGUCGACGGCGACGGGCCGGCCAGAUCCACCACUGGCCCAAGUCGUGGUUGCUGCUUCCUCGCGUCGAUCCAGCCGCCACCAUGUUCAUCUCCAUCGUUGGCUGGCGGCGGUGAGGCUGGUGAGCGGCGGAUCCAACGGUGGGGAGGCUCGAGGGCGGCGACGAGGCUGGUGGGCGGUGGAUCCGGCGUUGGGAGGCGAGGCAGUGGGCUCCCGUAGCCGGCGGCUGCCCAGCGGAGGAGGUGGCGGCGGCCGCGCCCUCCCCUCCGCUAGAUGUGGCAGGAGGGGAGGCAACGGGCUCUCGCCGCUGGCGCCUGCCCGGCGGAGGCGGUAGCGGCGGCGGCGGCGGCGGCCGCGCCCUCGAUGGGCGGCGGGUUCCCGUAGGCGGCAGUGUCACUUUCUCCAUGUUUCUCCUCGUCGUGCUCAGAUGCUCUCGAUGGAUCCAUCGCCUUCCUCCUUCUGCUACUUCCUUCCUUUCGUUCUUUCCUCUCGGUUUUCUCUCCUCUCCUCCGCCACUCAGCGACGCCCUCCUUCUCCGCCGAUCCCCCUCCUCGACCACCCACCGACGGCGCCUCUCCCUCUCCUCAGCUCCCCUUCCUCGUCCCCCCACCGAGUCCGCCGGCACGGAUCCAAUUCCCCCGAGCUCACUGGCGAUGGAUCGGCCUUCGCCGUUGGGUGGCAGUCGUCAUCGUAGGAUCGAGCUGCCACGAUGGUCCAGUUCGGUGCCGAGCGGAUUGGGGCGGUCUCGUUCUUUAGGCGGAGGGAGCGGUCGGAGACGAGGAGGCCGAUUGAGUAGUGGAUGCCGGAUCCGGAUAUGGUGCAGUGGACGAAUCUGGAGGUCGAGUUGUACAAGCAGAGCUGUUCGGUCGUCCGGAUAGGAGGGUUCAAGUUGUCGGACGAAGGUGGACCUCUAUGGAUUUUCCAACGAGGAUGCUGCUGUGGCCGCCGGAUCCAGUGACAAUUGACCCCCCCGCAGUAGAGGUGCUUGAACUGGUCACAAAUCUAGGUUCACUAAACCCAAAGGCUUUUGUAGCAAUGGGAUGCCUGGUGCUAGUGGUUACUUGGGCAGCAAUGGGGGUGAUGGUGGGUAUGGCAGUACACCAGGAGCCCAGGAAGAAAAUAUAUGGUCAAUAGGUAAGAUAUAUGGUAAGUUCAAUUCCCACACCACCUCUAAUCGCUGCGCAAUAUUGCUGGUUAUAGAUUGAUUGGUUUAUGACUGGUACUAUAUCAAAUAUAUUACUGUCUUUGAUAUGUUAUCUCUGUAGGAAUCAGAUUACUGUCAUGGUUCUUAUAUUGUGCACUUCCACUUACUGCAAGCUUAAGCUUGUAUCCUGUAUAUUUUAGUUAGUCAAGUAAUAGUAGUAUGAAAACACCAAAACAUUAUAUGUCUAAUCUGAACAAUCAUUUUGAGUAGCCUAAUUGAUUGCAAGCUCUUGUGAUGAUUUUGUUGUGUGCAUGAUUUAUGUUCUGCAUUCAUGUGAAUGUCUGAAUUGAAGGACCCGUCUGGAACUUCCGUGUUGCUAUGUGCCGCUGGACAACUGAAAAAAUUGGCUGUUGCUAACUUGAAAAAAUUGACUGUUGCUAACUUGCUAACUGUUCUGCAUCGACGGGAAAAAAAACCAUACAUAGCAUUGGUUGUGCAUAUGAAAGGCUCAGCUAAACAUUCUCUUCUGAAAACAAGGCUCAUGUAUGUCUGGUUGACCUCUUUAAUUUCUGUAUAAAAACUUCAUGUAUGUCUGGUUGACCUCUUUUAUUUUAUGAUGGUACUGUUAGUUCGAAUUCAUAAGCUGACUUAUCUUAUGAAAUUAAAAUUGCAUUCAGGAUUGAGUUGGUUGAUAACCUGGAAUCGACAUUGAUUGGAGAUUGCUUGACGUCCUAGAGGAAGAGCCUUGCGAUUAAUAUUUUCUUGUGUGCUUCUAUUAUUUCUAUUGCCUGAUUGAAAGCUGGCUUGAUGUUUUAGAGGAAGAGCCUUGUGAUAUAUGUUUUCUUGUCUGCUUCUAUUAUUUAUACUUAUAUAUUGCCUGUAAUGUAAUGUAAUAUUAAAUUGGAGUAGGAAUCGGUGUGGGGGAUACUGAACCUGUGCACGCAAACUGGAUUAGAAUCGGUGUUGUUUCUUUUUAAA